rnacentral:rRNA from 1 species
UGCUUCCUACGGGUGUCAGCAUUUAUUCCUAUUUUUCACUGUUCGGGAGCCUGAACCAGCCAAGUCGCGUGAGGGAAGACGGUCCUAUGGAUUGUAAACCUCUUUAGGCGGGGAGCAAUGCCGGACACGUGUGCCCGGAGGGAGAGUACCCGCAGAAUAAGCAUCGGCUAACUCCGUGCCAGCAGCCGCGGUAAUACGGAGGAUGCGAGCGUUAUCCGGAUUUAUUGGGUUUAAAGGGUGCGUAGGCGGAUUUUUAAGUCAGCGGUAAAAUGUCCGGGCUCAACCCGGGCCGGCCGUUGAAACUG